rnacentral:rRNA from 1 species
UGUUUAACAAAAACAUGUCUAUAUGAAGGUAUAUAAAGUCUAACCUGCCCACUGAAAACUUAAAGGGCCGCAGUAUUUUGACUGUGCAAAGGUAGCAAAAUCAUUUGUUUUUUAAUUGAAAACUUGUAUGAAUGGUUGAACGAGAAAUAAACUGUCUCUUAUUAAAAAAAUUGAAUUUUACUUUUAAGUGAAAAGGCUUAAAUAAUUUUAAGGGACGAUAAGACCCUAUAAAUCUUUAUAUAAAUUUUUAUUUAUUUUAAUUUAUUUAUUUAUUUUAAUAAAUAGCAUAUUAUAUUAUAUUGGGGUGAUAAAAAUAUACAAUUAACUAUUUUAAUUUUAAAACAAUUAUUAUUGAUUUUUAUUUAAGAUCCUUUAUUAAGAUUAAAAGAUAAAGUUACUUUAGGGAUAACAGCGUUAUUUUUUUUAAGAGUUCUUAUUAUAAAAAAAGUUUGCGACCUCGAUGUUGAAUUAAAAUAAUCCACAUGGUGCAGCCGCUAUGUAGGAAAGUCUGGUCGACUUUUAAAUUUUUACNUGAUUUGAGUUC